rnacentral:lncRNA from 1 species
AUGAAAUGAAUCUCCCAUGUGAAAGGUACCCUCCCUGCAUCCUUAUCACAGAGCUGGGGAUUCAGGGGGCAGAAGUCUGCAGAAACAAAUCUUACUAAUUAUUACCUCAAGCCUAAACUCUGCUGCAGUUCCUCGCCUUUUACUUACCUCAAAUUUUAAUAUGAGUUAGACCUUAACUGAAUGCUGCUAAAUUUGAGAGCAAAAAGGAGCAUACGCAUAAUGUGAAGUGUGUGUGUGGUUAAGGCAGCCUCCAAACACGUGUGAUGGAGCUCAUGGUAACUCACGGAAGAUACAGGAACUCUCUGACAUUAACCUCUGAAUGGACGCUAUGCAUUC